rnacentral:rRNA from 1 species
AAAACAUGUCUUUKUGAAUUUAAAUAUAAAGUCKAAUCUGCCCACUGAUAAAUUAUUUAAUGGCCGCAGUAUUUUAACUGUGCAAAGGUAGCAUAAUAAUUAGUCUUUUAAUUGAAGGCUUGUAUGAAUGAUUGGACGAGAUAUAAACUGUCUCAUAAAAAUUUUUUUUUAGAAUUUAAUUUUUUAGUUAAAAAGCUAAAAUAUAUUUAAAAGACGAGAAGACCCCGUAGAUCUUUAUAUUUUUUUUUAUUAAUGUUAUUUAGUUUUUUUAUAAAUUAAUAACUAAAAAUAUUUUGUUGGGGUGACAUUGAAAUUUAAUAAACUUUCAAAAUUUAAUAACAUUAAUUUAUGAGUUUAUGAUCCUUUAUUAUUGAUUAAAAAUUUAAGUUACCUUGGGGAUAACAGCGUAAUUAUUUUGGAGAGUUCAUAUCGAUAAAAUAGAUUGCGACCUCGAUGUUGGAUUAAGAUUAAUAUUGGAUGUAGCAGUUCAAAAUAUUAAGUCUGUUCGACUUUUAWUUUCUUACGUGA